rnacentral:lncRNA from 1 species
CUUGGACACAUGAGAUGUGACUUCUGGCUCUCACCUUUUGUAUUUAUAAAACAGAGCAUUGAAAUAAACGAAAUAGCUCAUGUGGACACUGCCGACAGUCGAUGGACCAGGAAUGCUUGUGGAAUCUUCAUCUGACAUGAGUCAUGAGGAACUCUCCCUUUUACCCAGAACGAGCCACACUCCUCCGGCCUCCAACUUUUGCCUGUGCAGUUCCUCCCACCCAUGGGCCUCAAGCUUCUCCAGCUGGCCAGCUCCAGACUGUCCUCCAGCCCAACUUACAGAGUGGCCUCUUGGGGCUGGCAGAGAGCAGGAAGGCUGCUCCCUGAAGGCUGGCCAGGCUGCUGAGCUGACUGACUUCUUUCCAAGGGUUUUCUUCCUCCCAAAUGCUUCCUCUGUGAUUCAAAGCUUUGCCAGAAAUAACAACGAUCACUGGAC